GACGAACGCUGGCGGCGUGCCUAAUACAUGCAAGUAGAACGCACAGUUUAUACCGUAGCUUGCUACACCAUAGACUGUGAGUUGCGAACGGGUGAGUAACGCGUAGGUAACCUGCCUGGUAGCGGGGGAUAACUAUUGGAAACGAUAGCUAAUACCGCAUAAUAUUGAUUAUUGCAUGAUAAUUGAUUGAAAGAUGCUAUUGCAUCACUACCAGAUGGACCUGCGUUGUAUUAGCUAGUAGGUGAGGUAACGGCUCACCUAGGCGACGAUACAUAGCCGACCUGAGAGGGUGGUCGGCCACACUGGGACUGAGACACGGCCCAGACUCCUACGGGAGGGAGCAGUAGGGAAUCUUCGGCAAUGGGCGGAAGUCUGACCGAGCAACGCCGCGUGAGUGAAGAAGGCUUUCGGAUCGUAAAGCUCUGUUGUAAGAGAAGAAAGGGUGUGAGAGUGGAAAGUUCACACUGUGACGGUAUCUUACCAGAAAGGGACGGCUAACUACGUG
rnacentral:rRNA from 1 species